AAUUUAUGCGGGUGGAAUAUAGCGGUGAUUAUACCGUCAGACGUGACAUCUCCCUCCUUAGGAAAGUUCGGUCCCCGAACUUUUAUUAGAUUCUAAAGUGUGCGUGGCAGUGUAAGAGCUGUGUUGCUGUAGUUGGAUUUAUCUAAAUCGAGAGCUGGUUAUCUAUACUGUCACCGUGAUUUCGUUGGACGGAUAUGAUAAGGAUAAAUUAAAAGUAAGUUAAUGCUAUAUUUCUAUCGUUACUACAUUUAUUCAUAUAAGUUUUAGUCUCUCCCCUUUUUUUAUUUUUUAUUAUUUUUGUUUAAGUAUAUUCAAGUAUUUGCCGCGUAUUCUUUCCUUAGCUUCGUCUAAAUCCAGGCGAUAAGCAAGAUUAUGUAGUCUUUUUACUUCUAGCAUAAGGCUUGUCGUUGACAUUUUGCUUAGCUCUGUAAGGAUAAUUAUUUAUUGAUUAUAUAUAACGGUUUUAUCGUAUAAGAGUGCAGUAAUUAAUAUAUUUCGUUAU